GGGCUGGAGAAGCAGUGGGACACUGGUGGUGGCUGACAAAGGCAGUCUGCAGGGCAGUACGGGCCACUGGGUGGCUGGGUGGCAGGGAGGCGGUGUUUUUCCGCCAGGGCGGACGUGGGCUGUGAGCAGCUCCCAGGCGCAAGGGCAGACGCCUCCACAGUGCUGGAGCCCAUUUUGCCCGCCCGCUGAGGAGAACUCUGCGCGGCCUACACGCGUCAGGGACAGCGCUUUGAGGUGACAUCGCCACGAACAACGGUCUCUUUUGAAAGUUGGUCCUAAAACAGUUAAGGUUUUAUUUUAUUUUGUUUUAUUUCCAAGUCACAGCUCUUGAAUCUCUCUGGACCACGUCCUGAUGCUGGCCUGACCUCCUAACUUCGGUUCUAGUGACCUCGGCCUUGGAUGUCCCUUGGUUCGCCUUGGGCUUGCAUCGCGAUCCCUGCUUGAGUGUCCCGGGGUGGGAGACCUGGAAGUUUUAGCCUAGCUGUUCCGGAGAAGGUGUAAUUAGUCCAAGAAACAUUAUAUACAUGCUUAGGUGGAGAAAAGCAGGGCUAGAAUUGGAACCCAAAGCCCAGAAUGGCAAGAGAGGAUGUGGGGGCUCCACCCGAUCAUCUCUGGGUUCACCAAGAAGGUGUCUACCGCGACGAAUAUCAGCGCACAUGGGUAGCUGUGGUGGAAGAGGAGACAAGUUUCCUAAAGGCUCGAGUCCAGCAAGUUCAGGUUCCCUUAGGUGAUGCAACUAGGCCAAGUCACCUUCUUACUUCCCAACUACCUCUCAUGUGGCAACUCUACCCAGAGGAACGCUACAUGGAUAACAACUCUCGCUUGUGGCAGAUUCAGCAUCAUUUAAUGGUGAGGGGAGUACAGGAACUACUGCUUAAACUUUUGCCUGAUGAUUAACCUGGUGCUGGAAUUCUAGGAAGAUAUGUUCCUCUGUUCUAUUCACAUCAUUCACCACUACAGUGCUCCUACCCUUGGGUCUGGGUGGGGAGAGAGUAGUUUGAAAAACUACAGAAGUUUAGGAAGGGUCAUGAAGAACACUGCCAGUGACACUACAGAGAGAGGGUUACACCGGGCAGAAAUCAAGCCAACAAAAACAUUUAGUCAGGAAAUGUAACUUGAAAUUGACUCCUCUGGAAAUUGGCAUAGAACGUUUAAUGGACUUCAUCGGUUGAACCUGGGAUCUGGUGAAUCCCACAAAAAUCAGCACAUGCUACAGAACAGAUGCCCUCAUCACCAAGGACUUGGUACUUAUUUAGAGAGAAGAGAGCAGCCUCUAGCAGCAUCAACAUGUAUUUGUUGCUUAUUUCCCCUGCAGCAAAUCACCUGCCUUUCCUUCUUCCAUCCUUUUUCUGGAUAUGCCACAAAAGGAUCCAUGCCAGAAACAAGCCUGUGAAAUACAGAAAUGUUUACAAGCCAACAACUAUAUGGAAUCGAAGUGUCAGGCUGUCAUCCAAGAACUUCGUAAGUGUUGUGCUCGAUAUCCCAAGGGAAGAUCUCUUGUCUGCUCAGGAUUUGAGAAAGAAGAAGAAAACCUGACACUAAAGUCUGGAUCCAAGUCCAAGGUGACGACUACAGCAGUCUUAGCUGCCUCAAGCCCUUUCUAAACCAAAAACUCUUAAGAGGCAGAGAGGCGGCAAAGAGGCUGAAUGCUACAUCUUGCAGGCAACAGGAAGUCAACCGACACACUGGGCAGUAUCCUUUAAGAAACCUCAAAGCCCACCCCCACGGUGACAUACUUCCUCCAACAAUGCCACGCCUAACAGUGCCACUUCCUUUGGGGGCCAUUUUCUUUCAAACUACCACAUGCUCCCCUCCACAGACCUUCCCCAAUUCAAUUCUUUUCUUCAAAGCAACAUUUUUUUCUAAAGCAUUCCUAGGAAUCACUGUAAAAAUGAAACAAAAAGGCUUCUUCUGUGGUUAAAUACUUGAAGAAUGCUAGUCUAGACACAUGUAAAUGGUUAGUUUCCUGCCAGAGUUUAGUUUUUCAUAUGUUAAUAUGAGAUACAAUUCUUUGUAGUAUUAUCCUGUUACGAAACUGAACCUCUUUUGUAGACAAGCAUUUCUUUGAGUGAUUUUCCUCCAAAGAGACUUUCUGGAAAUAUGCUAUCUGAGAGAUACUUGGUCCACAAAGGAGGGUAACAAUUCUAAAUUCCCAUGAAGUAAUUUAAGUGAACUCUCAUUAAUAGUAAAACCAUUUUAAUAAAGCACUUUACAAUUAUAAUGUGUAUAUCACCUAUGAAUCUAAAUUGCACUUAAAAUAACAUUUGACAGUGAUUGCUUAGGACUUACAUAUGACUCACAAAAUCAAAUAAUUGCUUUUUCUGUUUUAUUAGUUAUGUUUACUUUAAAACAUUUUAUAUGUCUCUCUCUCCUAAAGUAUACUGCCUUAUUUUGAGUUUCAAAAGCUUCCAAGUAUUUGUUCCUUUCUUUAAACUAUCCUUUCUUAGUUUAAGUCAACAGAUCUACUGAAAGACAUUGACUUAAAUCUUAUUCUCUUUAGCUAUUAUGGCACACAGAAAAAUGAGUAUUUUUUAUGUAACACUGACCAAGACUAACACUGAAACAUAGUCUUCGGGGAAGAACUCUUGUGACAACUAUGGUCUCACCUCUCAUUUUAGAAAUACAAAACCCUCCAAGUAGCUAUUAGUGAUUCUAAGAUAAUCACUUGGUUGGUGAUUGACAGACCUUAGCAAGGAUGCUACUUUUCAAUAGCAAUGGGUAAAUCAAUUGUAGGGUGACAUUUGGGCAGCAAGUGAACAUUCCAUUACUCUACAGCCUUUUAUUCAGUAAUUUCAGCAUAUACUGAUGGCAAAAAUCCCCAUUUCCAUUUUGUUAUAAUACACCUUUCUUCCUUACAAUGUAAUCAGUAAAUUGUGGUAUUAUAUUUGUGUUCCGUAUCCAGAAAUCAUCUCAAGUUAAUUUUAAAAUAAAAUUUAAAAAGUAUUCACUUGUUAACAGAAUUGUAAUUUUAUUAGCACCUACUUCCAACUCCUUCAUUGUUCUCUAUCUUCACUGCUCAUCAAGAAAAUCUGAGAUAUGUGAAGCCUCAACCUACCACAAUGGCAUCCUAGACCAGUGAAGUCAAAACCCUUAGUAUAACAGCCACAAAUCAACAUUUAAAAUUCCAAAGGUGAUUCCCUUGUGUAAACAAGGAUGAGAACUGCUGCCCUUAGUAAUCACAUCAUUUCUUAACAUUUUAAUAUUGGAAAAAGUAGAUAGUUUUGAUACAG